rnacentral:rRNA from 1 species
UACGGAGGGUGCGAGCGUUGUUCGGAAUCACUGGGCGUAAAGGGCGUGUAGGCGGUCCGCUAAGUCUGAUGUGAAAGCCCCGGGGCUCACCCCCCGGAAGUGCAUUGGAAACUGGCGAACUCGAGUCCCGGAGAGGAGAGUGGAAUUCCUGGUGUAGCGGUGAAAUGCGUAGAUAUCAGGAGGAACACCGGUGGCGAAGGCGGCUCUCUGGACGGUGACUGACGCUGAGACGCGAAAGCGUGGGGAGCAAACAGG